UGCAUGAUUGAAAUGGCCUAGCCUCGGGUGCUUGAGUAACAGUAUCAAGAAUUGAUUUUAUAACUGAAGAUUCCCUAGAUUGCAUUAACAGAUUUGAAACUUAAUAUGACUAGUGCCUUCAUUAACUCUGAAAAUCCUAAUAUUGUAAGAUAUAUGACUAGUGCCUUCAUUAUCAAUACAAGAGCACUUGCCACAAAUAGUUAGUUGAUCACCUCUCGCAUUAUAAGAAAGAAAGAAAAAAUCAUUGUUUCGGUUGAUUUAAUAAAUUGAUGUAUCUAGUCUAUAUUAUAUAUCAAAUACAUAAGUUAUCAAUUCAAUAAACCUAAAAAAUGGUUUUUGCUUAUAAUAAUAAUCACACUCUGUAAUAUCUAAAUCGGUAUAGCGACUGUUUGUUUACGCGUUUAGCCACCUCAAACGCGUGUUUUUACCGGUAAUCGUGGUUUUUGUCACUUGCAAACAUGUUUGGUUUUUUUCACCAAGAACUGGUUCUGUCUCCCAAACUCCAUUCUACCAAAAGCUAGGAAUCCUAGCUUCUGCGGUGAAUCAAAAUCGAUUCUCAAUUUGCUGAUGAGUUACGGUUACAGAAUAGAUUUUAUUCCUUUAUUGCCCUUAACAACUAUCAUCACCAAAUCACCCAGAUCUACCUCUGCUGUUGUAAUUCAUGUACCAAAUCACCCAGAAGACAUUUUAGUAAUCUACAAAUCGAUCACUAAUCUGCAUUAAAUCACCCAAAUCUAUCCUGUAGUUGUUGAACAAGGAAGGAAAUUUAUUUGAUGAUCAAAAAUGGAUAGAAAGUGUGAGAGAUGGGUAAAAAGAAUUAAUAGAAUGGAAAAAGAAAAUUGAGAAAUAAGAGAAUGAAGGGAGAAGAAUUUUGAAAUUGUAGAAGGAGAUAUGGUAAAAUCAAUUGAAGGUUUUGGAGAAAAGAAGAGUGGGUAGUGAGGACAGGAUUUAAUUUUUUAGUUCUAUUGUUUUUCUACAAUUGGGUUGCAGGGUUAUUUUUCAUUAUUUGUUAGGGUUAAUUAAGUUUUUGGUCCCUAUAAAUAUCUGCAGUUUUGUUUUUAGUUCCUAUAAAAAUAAAUCACACUUUUUAGUCCCUACAAAAUUUUCUGUUAGUGUUUUUAGCCCC
rnacentral:lncRNA from 1 species